rnacentral:lncRNA from 1 species
CGUGCAAAUACGCAAGCAUAAUCGGUGUGGUUUCAUAUGGUCCACAAACGAAGUCAAAAUAGAGAAACAAUGAGUACUUAUCUCAUUGGUCACAGCCGCGUCGAGCAAAGUUCUGGGUGCUGAGGUUCGGAUUUUGAAUCCGGCUUCGGAUUCUUCGGCGAAUCGCAGUGGGUGAGAGUGUGAUGCUCGCAGAAGGACAUAAGAGGUGGGUGGAUUUGGAUCAGCUUCUCAACAUCCAGAUCAGCGGUGGUGGGGAUUGGCCAGCGGAUGAAUUUCUAGCGGUGGACGGCUAGCGGUCAGCAGUCAGGGGAGCUCAAUAGGUGGCUGGGAUUGGCCAGCGGAUGAUUUGACCAGCAGAGGGCGUCCAAUGGUGACUGGCUUUGCAUCCGGCGGAUCAUGAUCACCGGUGUGUGAUCAGCGGUUAUGGCCAGCGGGAGCGGUUGGCAGAGGGAGAUGAUCGAAUCUGAGAUUGAUGAUCAGAUAGCUGCUGAUGCAUGAUGAUGAACUGCCUGCGGUGACCUGCUGGGGUUGUCGCUAGCUUGCUGACGCUGGCGGUGUUCGUUAAGUUAGCUGAUGAUGGCUUGCUAGUGGUGUGCAGUAGCAGAGCAUGGCUUGCUAGUUGUGGUUUUAGCCAGCGGUGGUGGCUGGCGGAGGGCCCUUGGUGGAUGACGCCAAGCGAUGAUGAUGGUCAGCGGAGAAGAUUUUGGCUAGCGGUUUGGCGGAACCUUCACUAGCGGGUUGGCGGAGCUUACGCUGGCGAUUGGUGGAAGCUCUUGUCGGUGCCACCUUGAGGCUGGGUGUUUGGCGUUUAACGGUUUGCUGCCAGUUGAGGAGCUUGUCAUUGACGGAGAGCCUGACAUUGAUGCUCGUUCUCCGCUGAUGAUGACGAUCAUAUUAAGUGAAGGAUGUAGCACGAGGAAGAUGGUCCCUUGAGUCCUUGACGAAGUGUCGAUGAUGAAGGUUGGCAGUGCAAGACCUUCGUAUAUUGUGGAGCUCGGCGGUGAUGAAGGUUACUGACAGAGAGCUGAUGGUGACGGAGAGCUGUUGGUCAUCAUCUUCAUGUUUUGUUGUUGGGUGCCCAUAGUGAAUUUCUGGGUGUCCACAGUAAAUAGGCACACCAAAUUUUUUUUUUUCGUUACCGCUGAAGAUGGGUAAUAUUUACUGCUGAGGGGUAGUGUGCCGCUUAAUCUUGGCAUAGGGGUUGGACCGAGUUGCUCAAUUUUUUUUUUUUGGUGAGUGCAGCGUUGACCUGACACCAACGGGCCAAAGUUCACAGUACGAAGCUUUUGUGUUGGCUUCCCACAGACGGCGCCAAUGUUAAUGUUAGAAACCGAAGACUCUAAUUAACUUUAGAGAGAGAGAGAGAGAGAGAGAGAGAGGCAUAAGAAGUAUAGUGGUUCGUCUCCCGCCUUACAGGGAGACUACGUCCAC